AGACCCUAAGUGAAUGUAUGAUGGGAUUUUCUUAGCAAGAUUUGUUCAAAGUGGGUAUGCAUUGUCUUCCUCUGACAUACCCACAGUCACCCCAUAGCUUUCAAUGCCAUCCAAAUCUCCAGAGUCGCUGUCCAAGAAUAAAAACACAACACCACAGUAGCUCAAAAUAUUACCUAACUCAAUAUAAAACUUCAAUAAAUAUUACCAUUAUCAUUAUGAAUGUUUAAAAGUAACAUGUUCCAUACUCACUACUUUAUCAUUACUUAGUUCCAUGUCAGAAAUCCAACUGGAAAAAUUGGAAUAUGGCCUGUUUGCAAAAAUAAAAUCUCUUCAAAAUGCUUCAAGAAUGCAUUGUAGCACCCAAAAGUACACUAUUUAUUUAUUUAUUUACUUACAGUAUUUAUAUUCCGCCCUUCUCACCCCGAAGGGGACUCAGGGCGGAUCACAUUACACAUAUAAGGCAAACAUUCAAUGCCUUGACAUAGAACAAAGACAAAGACAAACGCAGGCUCUGAGCUGGCCUCCAACUCAUGACCUCUUGGUCAGAGUGAUUGGUCUCAGCUGGCUGCAGCUGACUACUCACCAGCUUGUGCCACAGCCCGGGCCUAAACUCAGUGAGACAUAGUCAACAACAACUACCUCCUUUGUUGCUAUGAGUCCUCUGCUUAACGUCUCUGCCAAAGCAUGAAAUGAAACUGAGGCAGAAAAAAAGUUAAACAGCCCAUGUAAUCCAUCCAAAAAUACAAAGAAAACCACAGAAAAUACCACCAAUAAAGGGUUUUGCACACAAAAAAGAAAGAAAUUAUAUCAAAUCUCACUAUUGAUAUGCAUAAUUAAUCAAAGGAUUAUUCUAACUCACUAAGUCAAUUUCUUAAUAGGUAGACUAUCAUAACAAGAAAUAUCAAAUAAUAAACUAUUUCCUGUUUAUAAUAAGGUUGAUCUUAUAACUGACUACAGCUCCAGGAUGUAUGCCAACUAAAUUUAUGUACAAAACACAUUAAUCUCCUUUCAUAUACAUAUAUCUAACUUAAAUCUAGCUCUUCCACCCUCUAUAUAUUAAUCACAUUUUUUCAAACCAUCGCUUUAAAAUUAAUAUAAUGAAGGAGCUUUCUUAAAUAGAAAUUUCUUUUUGUAUAAAUCAACCAUCCAUAUGUGAUAACAAAAUAAUAUAUAAAUUAUCUCAAAGCAAAAGAAGUCAACAGAUUUAUCUCUUAUAAAUAUUAAUAUUUACCAUGGGUUUUUCUCCCAGCUCUCUGCCAUUGUAAAGCAUGGAUGUAAAAAAAAUGAGGUGAGUGCAUUAUCUUUUGGACACAGUCCAUCUCGAUCUUGGAUUUUUUUUGUCUCCUUCCAUGGUUUGUUCAGCUCCCUGGACUUUCUUUGCCCCUAUUGCCAUUUCUCUAGUCCCUGAGAUCACCAUCUCUUCUCUGAUGUAAAAGAAAAAACACCUGGUCUUCCAGAGUUCUCCAAAACCACACUUUUCUCCCUGUUGUUAAAUCCCAAGAUCUCAGCAGAUAUUUUCUCCACAUAUUUUCCAAUUUUCAACAUUGUUGUUCUUCUUUCUCUGAGAGUACAGAACCAUUCCAGUCCAUCACAGAAAAGGCUGCUACAAUUUGAAAAUCGUUCACCUCCUUCUGACAGAAAUCUCUAGCCAUAUAGUCUUCAGUUCCUCCAAAAGUUUCUUUCAGUUUUUUAACUCUAGCUUAACUCCGCUCUUAGCAAUGUUUCAUCCUUUUACAUUUCUUCAAAAUUACUUGUUCAUCUGGACCUUCUAGAUCUUCCUCCACAUGACCCUCAUUCAUUUCUUUGAGCAUUGUUGUCUUUAGUAUUCAAAAAAGUCUUUUAUGAAAUCAAAAAAUAUUGUCAAAUCGAGGCUCAUUUCUCACAAAAACUCUGAAUCUUUAGGAAUAAUCCAACAUAUUUUCACUUUAAAAAUGGAGAUAAGGUUUUAAUAAUCUAAUUUUAAUAUUUCCUGUACCUUUCAUCAUUUUAAAUAAUUGUAUCACACUAUCCUGUCAAAACAUUUUGUAUACACAAUACAAUGUUUAUAGUAGUCUUUGCAGUCUGACUUCUUAAUUCAAAAAGGAGGCCAACUUGCCAAGUUGAUGUCACUGCAGAAUCAAAGAUCUCUUUAUAAUCUAUAAAUUCCAGAUAUUAUGUGAAAAGUUAAAGAAAGCAAGAUGAAGGCUGAUUGUGCUUAAAAACCUGCAUUCAGCAAUGUGAGGUAUUCCCCAGGGUUCCUGCUCUAAUCACUCUUGAUCACUCAUUCUGCAAAUCCCUAGACACUAAAAGCUGAUCUCCUUCCCCUUUAUCUAGAGAGAAAUUCAUCAGCUAGAAUGUGACUCUAUGCCAGUGAUAAUUCCCAUUGAAGAUUCUUCUCACAUGGAGCCCCCUGGAAGAUGAGAGGCAGGGAUGAUGAUGACAGGGAGGAAUCCUUUUGAAACCCACCUCUGCCACCAAAUAUGUAUUGUGUGUGUGACUGUGAUGGAAAGGUAUGAGGUGAAGCAGGGAAAUGGUAAUUGCUAUUUCCACUGCUGAGGGGAAUUUUGAUCUUUUAUUCCCUCUAGAUUAUAUAUAUCACCUUUAUAUGAGGGGAAGGGUUACAGGGGGUGAUCUAUGUUUCAAGAUCCCAGCCUCUGUUUUUGUAUUUAGGGAUUUAGAUGUUGUGGUUCCCUUUCUGAGGUAAAUAUGUCUGUUAUUCUUUCCCCAAUUAGGUGAUUUAUUCAAUUAACUGCCACCAAUUAAUACUGAUGAAACUUGGCUCCACAGACGUAAAUGGAAUGAGAUGAGACAGUUGUUAACAAAUAACAACAAAUUUAUUUUGUACAAAGCUUAUAGUUGCAGGUUUGGUCGAUUAACUUAUAUAACUUUAAAUAGACAAGUGGUUUACUCCCUAUAACCACCCAGCCUCAGUCGAGUUCCUUCGUGGACAAUGUCCCCACUACAAUAAAACUAAUAAUUUGAUCCAAUACCGAUCAAAUCCCAGAUCACUAGAUUUUUCUCCACUAGAGAUCUUACUAGAUUCCCUUUAGUCUGUUCUGACUAAGGGUUUCUGUGCCAGGCCUAUCUUUUUUAGCGCUUCCUGACUAAAAAGCUUCCAGCCAUGCACACACACACCCUCUCCUUCUCUCCCUCACACACACACUCUCAACUCCCAACUCUCAACUGAACUGGCUUCUCUUCCUUUUUAAAAAACCGCUCCUAUUUCCUUGGCUCCGCCCACCUCUCUCUAUCAUGAGCUAGCCCUUCGUCUCCAUGGUAACCUAACCACUGGGGAAUGAAACAAAAUGUCUGCUGUUUCACUCAUGUUUCAAAAUGGCUACUGUUAACUAAAACACAAAUACACACUCCAACAGACAAAUAUUAAACACUAUAACUAUGACUUCUCCACAAUAACAUUUAUCAAAAGAGCUAUUCGUCUAGAAAGAGGAAUUGCAAAUGAGGUCACAAGUUUCAUAGUACAGAAGAGGAUGCCUUCAAAAAUUUGUAGAUAAAGGGGUUACUAAUUACAAACAAUACUCUAACAUCUCCCCUUAUUUUGCUGGAUUCUUUUAAUACAGGACAACCAUCUCUUCAUGACAAUUUUUUUGUUUUUUGUUUUUUGGGUUUUUUUUGGGGGGGGGGUUGUAUUGUGGUAUAUUACUAGAAGAUGGGUAGAGGUGAUAAUGCCAGAAGUGCUGUGCCAAUUGGUUUGGCUGGGUCCCUUGAAGCUCCAUAGCAGACGUGGUGUGAUUUUGGAAUUGCAACCCUAAGGAGAAAAUAAAUAAUAAAAUAAAUACUUUAUUUUAUUUGUAUUCCACCCUAUCUCCCCGAGGGGACUCAGGGCAGAUUCCAACAACAACAACAAACAAACAAUAAAUGCAAAUAACAAUCAAUACAAAUACAAAAUACAAAUACAAUACUAAACCAAGGACCCAAAUAAACCAACAUAUACCAAAUUAAACCCACAUGCAAAACCAAAUUAUAACAUAUAAUCUAAAAGUAAAUUAAAAUUAUAUUUAGCAUAAAAACAUGAACCAUUUUUAUUUUAAAAGAACAAGAUUCAACUGCAAUUACAUUAAAAUUAAUUAUGUUGCAGUGGUGUAACAGGGCCAAUUAGCCAACAAGCCAAAAUGCAAAAACAAAUUCCAUCCAGCAGUAUAUUAUGUGUCUAUAGUCCUCAAGUCCUCCUCCUCCUCUCCAUAUGCUAAAGAGCAAAGUUGAGUUUUUAAUUGUUUUUUGAAGGAGAGAAGUGAGGGGACAAUUUAAAUCUCUUUAGAAAGGGCAUUUCUUUAGCAAGGCUUUCUUAUCCAGAGCUGUCCCAAGGUAUUUUCCUGUUUGAGGCAAUGCAUAAUUCUCAUUACAGAAUGGGCUAGGUUUGUAAUUAAUUUUACUUUAACACUGGGAAUGGAACAUCCUCCUCCUCAGCACUUGAUGGGGCAUGGAUGAAUGAAGUCAAAUACACAUAUCCCCAUAGAUACCACACAGAAGUAUAACAUGUUAGAUAGAAGACGACAAUUGCAGCAGACCAACCAAGUCAUAAGAGGAAUGGGGGAGAAGACAAAACCACUAUAGAAAGCAAAUGCACAUCGGUAAGAGUUCAAUCCAAUGUGGUGCCAUACCAGGGAGAGGUGAUAAAACCCUAGAAUGAUAUUAAAAGUACACAGUUGUAAGUUUGAACUAUAAGACUGCUGAAUCUCCACUGGAAGAAAAGGAUGAGGAAAUACUAAGAAAAAUAUAAAAAAACACUUGGACUAUCAACAAUUUGUCUUCUAAAUCCUAUCAGCAUGAAGGGAAUUGAUUUAAUAUGGAGAAAUGGGAGAAUACAUUAAUAUUUAUAUAAAUGAGCAUUCACUGUCUUUCAUGUUAAAUUCUGUUAUAUGAUUAUAUAUCUGAUGUAUUUUUACACGGUUUAUGUUUUAAAUUGUUCUAUGGUUUUAAUUUGUUGUUUGUUGUAUGUUUCUUGUUGUAUUGGAAACCACUCUGAGUUCCUCGAGGAGAUAGGGUAGUGUAUAAAUAAAGAUUAUUAUUAUUGUUAUUAUUAUUAUUAUUAUUAUUAUUAUUGACACAAAGACAUAGUAUGACACAGCAAACGAGAUCUAUAUGCUGGAUUUUGUAUCACAAAAUCACAAGUCGAACACUUCCCAAGUAUUUAGGACUGUGUGAUGUAUUUUCGGAUGAUGAGUGCAGAUCCCAGUAAGGUGGCCUUUUGCAGCUGACAGAUCGUAAUUUUGUCAAUGUUUAUUGUUUCCAAAUGCUGGCUGAGAUCUUUUGGCACGGCACCCAGUGUGCCAAUCACUACAGGGACCACCUGCACUGAUUUAUGCCAGAGCCUUUGCAGUUCAAUCUUGAGGUCCUGAUAAUGGCUGAGUUUUUCCUGUUGUUUUUCAUCAUUCCAACUGUCACCUGGUAUGGCAUCAUCAAUAAUCCAAACUUUUUUAUUUUCCACAAUCGUGAGGUCUGGUGUGUUGUGUUCCAAAACUUUGUCAGUCUGGAUUUGAAAGUCCCACAGUGUUGUUGUUGUUGUUGUUGUUGUUGUUGUUGUUGUUGUUGUUGUUGUCGUCGUCGUCGUCUCAGAUAAAACUACUCAUUUCAUUUCAGCUUAUCAAUAAGGUAGGUAUAGAUCAGGGUGGACAGCUGUGGAAGACGAGGGAGAGGGUGCCCACCCUGUUCCAAGUAUCGUAGCAGUAGUAGUAGUAGUAGUAGUAGUAGUUGCUGCUGCUGCUAUUAUUAUUAUUUGA